rnacentral:rRNA from 1 species
UACGUAGGGCGCAAGCGUUAUCCGGAAUUAUUGGGCGUAAAGAGCUCGUAGGCGGUUUUGUCGCGUCUGCCGUGAAAGUCCGGGGCUCAACUCCGGAUCUGCGGUGGGUACGGGCAGACUAGAGUGAUGUAGGGGGAGACUGGAAUUCCUGGUGUAGCGGUGAAAUGCGCAGAUAUCAGGAGGAACACCGAUGGCGAAGGCAGGUCUCUGGGCCGUAACUGACGCUGAGGAGCGAAAAGCGUGGGGGAGCGAACAGG